ACUGAGGAGAGGAGACAAAAACCUUCCAAAUUUAAUUUUAAUUCGAUAAGUGUUAAUAAUCUAAGUUAUCAGGACAUCGACAGGGAGGCUGUUGACAUCGUUUCCAGACAUUCGUAUAUCUAUAUAGACAUUACAUAGGUUUUACUCCUUUCAGACAUCCAAUACGAGAAUAUCACGGCAGACAGAUGAUAUAACAAUGUGCAAGAAAUUUCCAAUAUUAUUUCAGCGCAGCAGAGGCUCAACCAUGAAAUAAGGUCAUCCCUGGUUCUCUAUGUUACAACCCAAGUGGCUUUACCUUCGGCAAUGUCAGCUAAUCAUAGUCUAGUUUCCGGGGGUGAAGUUGGUGGCGUAGGCCCAGGCGUUGUUGGCGACGGGGUCAGCCAAGUGGUCGUUCAAGUUCUCCAAGGGACCCUUCCCGGUGACGAUGGCCUGCACGAAGAAACCGAACAUGGAGAACAUGGCGAGGCGGCCAUUCUUGAUCUCCUUCACCUUCAACUCAGCGAAGGUGUCGGGGUCGUCAGCCAAACCCAGGGGGUCGAAGGAGCCUCCGGGGUAGAUGGGGUCGGUCACAUCACCCAAAGGUCCACCGGCGACACGGUAACCCUCAACGGCUCCCAUAAGGAUAACCUGGGAAGCCCAGAUGGCCAAGAUGCUCUGAGCGUGCACAAGGCUGGGGUUACCCAAGUAGUCGAGACCUCCCUCGCUGAAGAUCUGGGCUCCGGCCUUGAACCACACGGCCUCACCGAACUUCACACCGUUCUUGGCCAAAAGCUCAGGGGUAACGCACCCCAAAGCUCCGAGCAUGGCCCACCGGGCGUGGAUCACCUCGAGCUCCCUGUUCCUGGCGAAGGUCUCGGGGUCGGAGGAGAGUCCAGCAGUGUCCCAUCCGUAGUCACCAGCAAACUCACCGUUGAGGUAUGAGGGGGUCUCACCAGAGAAGGGGCCCAAGUACUUGGGUCGGUCAGCACCGUACCUACACAAUAAGAAUACAUGUCAAUUGUAAAGCAUGUGACGUGCAUUGCUGGUGCUGAUAUGAAAUAUAAGAACCCCACUCGCCAACCCUGUUCCGAGAAGUUAUCUACAUUAUUAUCCAUAGGCUAUCCACUAAAUAGACAUUAAUGUUGAGGGUUUCAGCUCACUCAUUGAGUCUGAAUCACUAGAUUCACUCAGCCUGCAUACUCAGAUGGCAUAACAAAGCAAAACCACCACUGGAGAUGGAAUGGUACAGACAAGAACACAAGCAAUCGAAGUACAUAGUGUGUGUGUAUUGGUUUACCAGUAACAUAGGUGGUCAAGGAGCGUACCAGAUGCUGUCGGAGGACUUGCUGGCAG
rnacentral:lncRNA from 1 species